rnacentral:rRNA from 1 species
CGGGUAACGGGGAAUUAGGGUUCGAUUCCGGAGAGGGAGCCUGAGAAACGGCUACCACAUCCAAGGAAGGCAGCAGGCGCGCAAAUUACCCAAUCCCGACACGGGGAGGUAGUGACAAUAAAUAACAAUAUGGGGCUCUUACGAGUCUCGUAAUUGGAAUGAGUACAAUUAAAAUCUCUUAACGAGGAACAAUUGGAGGGCAAGUCUGGUGCCAGCAGCCGCGGUAAUUCCAGCUCCAAUAGCGUAUAUUAAAGUUGUUGCAGUUAAAAAGCUCGUAGCUGAAUUUCGGGGUUCAUACGUUGGUCGGGCUUUUGGGUCUGUACUGGCGUAAUGGAUUCCUACCUUCUGAAUAACCGGCAUGCCAUUAAUUUGGUGCGCCGGGGAAGCAGGACUGUUACCUUGAAAAAAUUAGAGUGCUUAAAGCAGGCUAUCGCCUGAAUACAUUAGCAUGGAAUAAUGAAAUAGGACGGCAUGGUUCUAUUUUGUUGGUUUCUAGGAUCACCGUAAUGAUUAAUAGGGAUAGUUGGGGGCAUUAGUAUUCAAUUGUCAGAGGUGAAAUUCUUGGAUUUAUUGAAGACUAACUUCUGCGAAAGCAUUUGCCAAGGAUGUUUUCAUUAAUCAAGAACGAAAGUUAGGGGAUCGAAGACGAUCAGAUACCGUCGUAGUCUUAACCAUAAACUAUGCCGACUAGAGAUCAGACAGGCUUAUUUUUUAUGACCUGUUUGGCAUCUUAUGG